rnacentral:rRNA from 1 species
UACGAAGGGGGGCUAGCGUUGCUCGGAAUCACUGGGCGUAAAGCGCACGUAGGCGGAUUGCUAAGUCAGGGGUGAAAUCCUGGAGCUCAACUCCAGAACUGCCCUUGAUACUGGCGGUCUCGAGUCCGGGAGAGGUGAGUGGAACUGCGAGUGUAGAGGUGAAAUUCGUAGAUAUUCGCAAGAACACCAGUGGCGAAGGCGGCUCACUGGCCCGGUACGUGACGCUGAGGUGCGAAAGCGUGGGGAGCAAACAGG